rnacentral:rRNA from 1 species
GAUGAACGCUGGCGGCGUGCCUAAUACAUGCAAGUCGAGCGAACGGACGAUAAGCUUUUGUCUCUGAUGGUAGCGGCUGGCGGGUGAGUAACACGUGGAUAACCUACUUCUAAGACUGGGAGAAUUUCGGGAGACCGGAGCUGAUACCGGAUAAUAUUUUGAACCGCAUGGUUCAGAAGUUAAAGGCGGUCUUGGUGUCACUUUGAGAUGGUUCCGCGUUGCAUUAGCUAGUUGGUAAGGUAACGGCUUACCAAGGCGACGAUGCAUAUCCGAUCUGAGAGGGUGAUCGGCCACACUGGAACUGAGACACGGUCCAGACUCCUACGGGAGGCAGCAGUAGGGAAUCUUCCGCAAUGGGCGAAAGCCUGACGCAGCCACACCGCGUGAGUGAUGAAGGUCUUCGGAUCGUAAAGCUCUGUUAUUAGGGAAGAACAGCUGUAUAAGAAUAUGUCGCUGUCCUGACGGUACCUAAACAGAAAGCACCGGCUAACUACGUG